rnacentral:misc_RNA from 1 species
AAGUCGUAACAAGGUUUCCGUAGGUGAACCUGCGGAAGGAUCAUUAGCGAGAACCCGUGGUAGACGCAAGUCUGAGCACGAGUGCGCCAUCCUUGUGUUGUGUGUGUUGCCUGUGCACCUGACAAUGUCUGACAAUGUCUGACAGCGUCUGUGUGCACACGCGCAUUUUCACCCAUUAUUCCCAUUUAUCUAAUCCAACUGCUCAUACUGAGCACAAACAACCGAAAACUGCCAGCAAUGGAUCACUCGGUUCUC